rnacentral:rRNA from 1 species
GACGAACGCUGGCGGCGUGCUUCAUACAUGCAAGUCGAACGAGAAGCUGACUUCGGUCAGUGGAAAGUGGCGGACGGGUGAGUAAUAUGUAGGAAAUCUGCCUUUAGGAGGGGGACAACAGAGGGAAACUUCUGCUAAUACCCCAUAUGAGCGUAGCUGAAAUGCUAUUCUUGAAAACUCCGGUGCCUAAAGAUGAGCCUGCAUCUGAUUAGCUAGUUGGUAUGGUAAUGGACUACCAAGGCGACGAUCAGUAGCUGGUUUGAGAGGAUGAUCAGCCACAAUGGGACUGAGCCACGGCCCCUACUCCUCCGGCAGGCGGCAGUAGGGUAUGUUGCGCAACGGGCGAAAGCCUGACGCAGCCACGCUGCGUGAUCGAUUAAGCCCUCCGGGGUGUAAAGUUCUGUCAGUGCGGACGCAACUUGACGGUCCCCACCGAGGAAGCCCCGGCUAACUCCGUG